CGCACCGUUUGCGGCCACGCGUCCACCGCGUCGAGCUCUACAUUUCUACCGGAACAAUUUCAUUGGAUCCAAUUAGCUUGAGAGAAACGUUCACUCUUGCUUAUGUGAAGCUUGGGUAAGGUUGUGAAUAAAUAAUUGGAGCUUGAAAUUGUGAAUACUGGAACUUGGAGGAAGCGGAU